rnacentral:lncRNA from 1 species
GCGGCCGGUCAGAGGCCUCGUCCUCCGGGGCUUCUCCCUGCCUAGGCGCUACACCCAGGCGCCUCCAACUGGGUCCUGGUCGCAGCCUCCGCAAGAGUGCUGCUUCCAGAAGCCCCACCGUGCAGGCCUCAGUGUGAAUUGGUUCAGUUCAGCAAACUUUUCUUUUAAAAAAUCACCAGGUACUCAGCCAUAAAAAGGAACAAAAUCUUGACCUUAGCCGCAACAUGGAUGCAGCUAGAGGCCAUGUCCUAAGCCAAUUAGCACCAGGAACAGAAAACCAGAUCCUGCAUGUUCUCACUUGCUGAAACUCCAAGCCAAGAGCACAAUAAAGUUUGAAGAGUUCUAUGCAGCAGUUUGGGGACAGGAACCCGUUCCCUCGGAAUUCUUGCUGGGUUUGACCCUUUUAACAGAAGGCGGGGACACUGAUGGCAGCCUCGCAGAUCCAUAUAAACCUCAACGGAGAAGCCCAAACAAGGGAGACACCUUUCUGCUUUUGACCUAACGAGUAAAUCACUGCAUGUCUUUUUCAAAAAAAGGAAUUGCAGGCUGAUUCUGAAUGUCCAGCAGCUUCUGUUGGAACUCAUAGGGCUAAAUGUCUUUCACAGACGGCUUUUAUCUCAGACACGGCUAUAGGCGUGACUUAUUGGUUAUUUCCCCUCUGCCUUCACACUGAUAAAUAAUAAAAUUCUAACAAUCAAAA